AUUGAACGCUGGCGGAAUGCUUUACACAUGCAAGUCGAACGGUAGAGGGGGCAACCCCUCGAGAGUGGCGAACGGGUGAGUAAUAUAUCGGAACGUGCCCAGUCGUGGGGGAUAACGUAGCGAAAGUUACGCUAAUACCGCAUACGAUCUAAGGAUGAAAGCGGGGGAUCGCAAGACCUCGCGCGAUUGGAGCGGCCGAUAUCAGAUUAGGUAGUUGGUGGGGUAAAGGCCCACCAAGCCAACGAUCUGUAUCGGGUCUGAGAGGACGACUUGCCACACUGGAACUGAGACACAGUCCAGACUCCUACGGGAGGCAGCAGUGGGGAAAGUUGGACGAUGGGCGCAAGUCAGAUCCAGCCAUUCCGCGUGCAGGAUGAAGGCCCUCGGGUUGUAAACUGCUUUUGUACGGAACGAAAAGGUCUCUCUUAAUACGGGGGACUCAUGACGGUACCGUAAGAAUAAGCACCGGCUAACUACGUGCCAGCCGCCGCGGUAA
rnacentral:rRNA from 1 species